GAACCUAGAUGGAUAUAUCCCAGUCUUCAGAUAUUCAAGCUACUUUGCUUAAUGGAGAUUACUUAGAUCAAAUAAUUAAUUGUUAAGAUAAUCUACUUUCCUUACUAAUCAGACUUUAUCCUAAAGUUAAGAUGCAUCUGAACACAGCAGGAUAAGCCAAGUCAUUGUGUGAGAAGGAUUGCUUCUGAAAAUUUAUUUCUUCCCUAAAAGCUACAUGCUAUGUUCAACCUGAAGGACUGCUGUUCUCUUCCUUAGUCUAGCUACCACUCACUGAAUAUUCUUUCUGUUGUGAUACAUGUAGAAAGAAGGUUCAUGUUGGACUGUUCUAUAAGAUCUUUCCAUGAAAUGCUAGAACUCUAGCGUUUGCUCCAGGAAAAGGAAAAAAAAUACCCAUCACAAACUGCAUAAAAACAGAAAUAGCUCUGCUGUUCUGAGGAUUCAGCGUGGGCUUAUUGUAGAGCUUAAUGGCUGAGUUACCCAAUCAUAAUGAGCUACUGUGUACAUCAGCUGAGCAUGAUAAAGCACUCCUAAUGCGUCUACAAUGCAAGGGUCUCUCAGUAAAGAAAGUUCUGUUCCUGUUGCAAGCUAAGAACUACAGCUUAGAGUAUGAGUCAAUUCUUUGGAGGAAGCACUUAAACACCUGCUUGACUUUUGCCAUGUAGAGCAGCUCCUCACAUUUCACUGGUGUGAGAUCAGACUCUUGACUACGUAAUUUUUAAUCUGUCUUACCUCAUCUUGGUCCCUUUUUGUCCGUAAGUAUUGUACUUUUUAUGAAGGAUUUUCUAAUUCCAUGUUCUCAGAAAGAGCACAAAUCCAUAGCACAGGGAAUUAUGUUCUUUCAGCGUCUCAGGGACUCAUCUCUGCUGGUACUCCCUUUGUCUUUCUCUUCCUAUACUAUUGGUUUUCUUCUGGGACUCAGGCACUGGAGGCAGCCAGAGUAAUAGCAGGAAAUGUAUUACGGAAGUGCAGACUACCUGGGAUCAGGACCUUGUUGCCCUGCAGGUACAACACUAGAGUAAAACCAGUUGCUGUUCAUUGAGGCUGGUCUUGAUUAUGAAAGGCUUUCUUCUGUUCACCUCUGCAGUAUUUGUGUGUUGGCAGCCUGGAGACAUAGUGACAAGACACAGGAAUUUCAGGCGCAAAGAACUGACGUUGCUUCCUAAGUCAUGUGGCUGUGACAAAUCCGUUGGGUUGUUGAGUCUGAGGCUCCAGGAAAAGAGAACAGAAAGGACAGUGGGAUGAGGAACAGUCACCGAUCAUUGUCUCUCUGGGUGCAGUUAUUGGCACCAUCCUUACUUCUAGGAAUGAUGUUUCCACCUCUUCUCCAUGCAUUCAUUUGUCUUUGUUCACAAUUUGUUCCUGCCCAGUCAUAGAUCUAGUGAUUGUUCUGGGAAAGGAGAUGUACACACAUAGACACACACCUACAUAUAUGCAUAUAUAUUUACACACACACAUGUAUUAUAUGUGUGGCUUUUGAGCUCAUCAGGUUAGCUCAGGCCUGUGCCCAUUGCUUCUGCUGCUCCUUUGUCCCUGCACUUCUUGAGGGACAUCUAACAGCACAUUCAUAAUGGUCCUAGUUCUGUGUUUCACAGUUUAUAACAUACUCUUUGUCAGAUACAAAGGAUGGUGAUUAUCAUCCAUUACGGUGUGGGCUGGUGGAAGGGGGGACCAUUCCCCUAGACACACAGAACACGACAUGAGUUGCUUUGUAUGAGGGAGCCCUCCUGGGCAGUGAGACAUUGAGAUUACCACAGGUAUAUCCCUCAUUUAAUCCUGUGUUCACAAGUUCAGUGCUGUUUGCAGGCAAGGCAAAUAUGUUCCUUCAGUAUGUGGGGAGAAAAUCCAUGCUUACUGAUAUAGAAGUACAAAACAGUGUUGGCACAAGGAUUUCUGAAUCUAUUGACAGUCCUAUCUUGUACUGUUAUACGAUAAUAGCUGGAAGAUAGUAACUUUGCACUUGAUGGAAAAACAUAUUGUAGAGCUUAAUGAAAUUUCAUCAUGCACUUUUAAUUGAUUUCAGCAAGGGAGACCUUUUCAAAGCAAAUAUUGCUAUUAAUCUAAUUAGUGCUUUAGCUAAUAUACCGAAAUGAUAUUCGUAUAUCAAUAUAUCAGACAAAUAUUUGUACAAGAUACGCAUUUCAAUGACUACUCAGCUGAAAUGAACAAAUUAACUCCUUUGAUUAUAAGGACCUUACUUCCUAUAGCAGUACUUUGCAUUUUUUUUUUUCCUGUGUGAGUGCUUAAAUUCGGCCAUGAAAUCCACACUUAAUCCAAAAUAAAAUCCCCCAACAACAAGUGAUCUGUGCACCUGUACAACUGAGCAAUAGUGCUUGUUGACAGAAGGCUGUUUUUUGUCAGGGUCUUGCUAAUGGAUCUAAGUCACUGGGUGAGCAUGGCAAGAUCCUUUGGAAUGGAGUAUUGCUUGUCUUUGUGCUAUUUCCAUUUCAGGAUAAGAGAAAACCGGGUGAUAGUUGCACGACAUGUCCUGGUACGUUGUUCUUUACACUGUCCAGCAUGUGAACACAUUUUCCUUUUCUUUGAAGCAACCAAGAUGGUGUUGAGUGGUGGAUAUUAUUCCCAGAUGGAGCCAGAACAAGGCUGAGACCUGGGUGCUCAGAUGUUUUCCAGGGUUUGCUACUUUGGGUAUGUAUCUGUUUUCACUUGUCUUGAAUGCUACUGGACAGCUCUCAGGAAUAUAAGGAAAAUUUAUCAUAUAUAGUUGUAAGUCCUUACUUGGCUCUUUGUCAGCCUCUGUGCAAACACAGAAUUCCAUUGAGGCAGGAGUGAGUUUGAUCCUAUGCCCAUUCAAAUCUGUGGCAAAGCUUUUAUCAGGGUGCAAGGAUCAGGCACAUAGGUCAGGAUUUCAGGGAGGACUUAAGUUCUGCCACUGUCUGCACUGAGUGCAAUCCAGAGCUUUGGUGCCAGACAUUUAGAGCCCAUGUGUAAUAAAUAAGGAUAGUUAGACACUUCAAAAUGGGAUCCAAAACAGCCAGCAGGCUCAAGUGCAAAGUACCAGCUAAAAGAAAUACUGACCACAAGAAUAAGUCUGAAAUUUUACCACUUUCUUGGGCUAGGGCACCAGACUCCAAUUAAACAUGACACUGUGCACUCAUCUGAUAUUGUGAAGAGAGUCCAGAGACUGGACAUCUUUCCUGCUGCUGAGUAUCCACAGCUUCAGUCCCAAAGUGCUGAAGAGGAUUCAUUCCUCUCUUCGAAUAUUUGACCAAAGGAGCUUAUAUUCUCACACUAUACAACACCUUAGUGGCUGGAGCUCAUUCAAGAUCUGGAAGAUCCGAGUCCAGUGUCCAACUUUGCUUGAUGUGUUCUUACCAUCACCAAGGGAAGAGUGGGAACAUUCUCCACUGCUCCUGCAAAAACUAUUCUACUAUUCAGGCCGUAAUUCAAAACAACCAUAGAGGGCACGUAACGAAAUUUCUCUGUAGACUCGUGGUUAGGAAACACAGCCAAGGAGAAGGAAUCCAGGGUUUUGACCCCCCAUUUUUAGUGCUGUUCACACAAUUUAUUGCUUGACAUAAAGCUCAGGGGAAAAGGAUCCAGAUCUCAGGGCUCCUGCUUCUCAGGUAAGUAAAUUCUUUCCAGGUCCCAUCUUUGGUACCCAAAACCUUUAUCAGAUUUCUAGCAGUUUUGAAAUUCAAAGUUUUUCACAUGGCUAUGGAUCUUCCCUGUACCUAUGACAGGUGUACUAUCUGAAAAUUAAUGGGUUCCAACUUUGGACAGAAAAGUUACAUUUUUCUAUCCAAAUUCAACUUUUGUUUUGAAUCUUUCUUCAAGUUUUGUGUGAAGUCAUUCUACCUCGAAGGGAAUUAACUCUUAUGUUGAACUUUAGUGUAGUUAUGGCAGUUCUCAUGGGUUCUCUGUUGUGACUCAUAGUAUCAUGUUCUUUUUUUUGUGCGUGUCUAGUGAGUAGUUGGCAAAUUCUCCCCAACUAUGGCAUUAAAAGAAAAAAAGAAAAAAAGAAAAAAAGAAAAAAAAAAGGCAACAACCACAAAUGCUGUACUUGAGCUGGGUAGAAUUUAAGAAUCCCAGCUGCUUAUGGUCAAGGUUACUGCCAUCCCAGUAUACAUUGGAUGGGACUGUAGAAAGGAAUAACUGAUAGAAAUGUCAGAUAGAAACUGGGAUGAAAGCAGAUGAAUAGAAGGGAUGAAAAGUAGAAUGUGAAGUGAACAUAUCUGUACAGGAUCCUAAAAGAAACAAUCCAUAUUGGGAAUUUUAUUCCUUUUGCAUAUUACCAGAUGAUUUGUUACUUCUGCAAAGAAAAGCUAGAGCUCUAUUUUUUAAGCUCUAUUUUUUGAGAGUGUCGAAAAUAUAGAAACUUCUCGCUGUAGUUGGAGUCCUGCAGUGGCAUAUCAGGUAGCAGUUGCUUGAACUGCCUAUGUGAAAACUCUGCUCUGAUGUAUGUUAUAGAAAAGAAACUGUAAUUAAGAAAAUGCACAUUAGCUAAUUUUCUUUUCAAUGAGUUCCAAUACCAUAGAUCACUGAAAAUGAAAAACAAUAAGUGUCAAAUCACA